rnacentral:rRNA from 1 species
GACAGAGGAGGCAAGCGUUGUUCGGAAUCAUUGGGCUUAAAGCGCGCGUAGGCGGCCUUGUAAGUGUCUUGUGAAAUCCCACGGCUCACCCGUGGAACUGCAGGCCAAACCGCAAGACUUGAGGUCGGUAGAGGCGCCUGGAGCUCUAGGUGGAGCGGUGAAAUGCGUAGAUAUCUAGGGGAACGCCGGAGGCGAAAGCGGGGCGCUGGGCCGAUUCUGACGCUGAUGCGCGACAGCCUGGGGAGCAAACAGG